AUUGAACGCUGGCGGCAGGCCUAACACAUGCAAGUCGAGCGGCAGCGGGAAAGUAGCUUGCUACUUUUGCCGGCGAGCGGCGGACGGGUGAGUAAUGCCUGGGAAAUUGCCCAGUCGAGGGGGAUAACAGUUGGAAACGACUGCUAAUACCGCAUACGCCCUACGGGGGAAAGCAGGGGACCUUCGGGCCUUGCGCGAUUGGAUAUGCCCAGGUGGGAUUAGCUAGUUGGUGAGGUAAUGGCUCACCAAGGCGACGAUCCCUAGCUGGUCUGGGAGGAUGAUCAGCCACACUGGAACUGAGACACGGUCCAGACUCCUACGGGAGGCAGCAGUGGGGAAUAUUGCACAAUGGGGGAAACCCUGAUGCAGCCAUGCCGCGUGUGUGAAGAAGGCCUUCGGGUUGUAAAGCACUUUCAGCGAGGAGGAAAGGUUGAUGCCUAAUACGUAUCAACUGUGACGUUACUCGCAGAAGAAGCACCGGCUAACUCCGUGCCAACCGCCGCCGUAA
rnacentral:rRNA from 1 species